AGUCGCGGUUAAACCAAGAAGGCUGAGUAAUAUUUAUACGGUAAAAAGACAGUUAGAUAUUAUAGUUUAAAUAAGUUUUACUAAAUCUUUAUAAAAAGGUAGAAUUUGUAUAUAAAUAUGAAAUCUUAAGAUAGCUUAAUAUAUUGAAGCUGUGAUCGCCUUGAGGGAAACUGGGAUUAGAUACCCCAUUAUUCUUGGCCUUAAAUAAAUUAAAUUUACCAGAGUACUAUGAACUAUAAAGUUUAAAACUCAAAGGGCUUGGCGGUGUUUUAGACCUCUCAGGGGAACCUGUCUCAUAAUCGACAAUCCGCGUUAUACCUAACCCUAUUUUGCUUUUCAGUUUGUAUACCGUCGUCGUCAGGUAACUCUUAAAAAUAUAGAAGUUAGCAAAAAAGAUAUUAUAAGCUCUUACGUCAGAUCAAGGUGCAGUUUAUAUUAGGGUGAGGAUGGGUUACAAUUAUAAAAUUAUAAUUACGAAAUAAUUGAAAGAAUAUACAAUUAUAAGGAGGACUUGAAAGUAAAUUGAAUUAUAAAAAUAUUUUGAAUAAGGCUCUGAAGCGUGCACACAUCGCCC
rnacentral:rRNA from 1 species